rnacentral:rRNA from 1 species
AGAGUUUGAUCCUGGCUCAGGAUGAACGCUAGCUACAGGCUUAACACAUGCAAGUCGAGGGGAAACGAUAUUGGAAGCUUGCUUCCGAUAGGCGUCGACCGGCGCACGGGUGAGUAACACGUAUCCAACCUGCCGUCUACUCUUGGACAGCCUUCUGAAAGGAAGAUUAAUACAAGAUGGCAUCAUGAGUCCGCAUGUUCACAUGAUUAAAGGUAUUCCGGUAGACGAUGGGGAUGCGUUCCAUUAGAUAGUAGGCGGGGUAACGGCCCACCUAGUCUUCGAUGGAUAGGGGUUCUGAGAGGAAGGUCCCCCACAUUGGAACUGAGACACGGUCCAAACUCCUACGGGAGGCAGCAGUGAGGAAUAUUGGUCAAUGGGCGAGAGCCUGAACCAGCCAAGUAGCGUGAAGGAUGACUGCCCUAUGGGUUGUAAACUUCUUUUAUAAAGGAAUAAAGUCGGGUAUGCAUACCCGUUUGCAUGUACUUUAUGAAUAAGGAUCGGCUAACUCCGUGCCAGCAGCCGCGGUAAUACGGAGGAUCCGAGCGUUAUCCGGAUUUAUUGGGUUUAAAGGGAGCGUAGAUGGAUGUUUAAGUCAGUUGUGAAAGUUUGCGGCUCAACCGUAAAAUUGCAGUUGAUACUGGAUAUCUUGAGUGCAGUUGAGGCAGGCGGAAUUCGUGGUGUAGCGGUGAAAUGCUUAGAUAUCACGAAGAACUCCGAUUGCGAAGGCAGCCUGCUAAGCUGCAACUGACAUUGAGGCUCGAAAGUGUGGGUAUCAAACAGGAUUAGAUACCCUGGUAGUCCACACGGUAAACGAUGAAUACUCGCUGUUUGCGAUAUACAGCAAGCGGCCAAGCGAAAGCGUUAAGUAUUCCACCUGGGGAGUACGCCGGCAACGGUGAAACUCAAAGGAAUUGACGGGGGCCCGCACAAGCGGAGGAACAUGUGGUUUAAUUCGAUGAUACGCGAGGAACCUUACCCGGGCUUAAAUUGCAGAUGAAUUACGGUGAAAGCCGUAAGCCGCAAGGCAUCUGUGAAGGUGCUGCAUGGUUGUCGUCAGCUCGUGCCGUGAGGUGUCGGCUUAAGUGCCAUAACGAGCGCAACCCUUGUUGUCAGUUACUAACAGGUUCUGCUGAGGACUCUGACAAGACUGCCAUCGUAAGAUGUGAGGAAGGUGGGGAUGACGUCAAAUCAGCACGGCCCUUACGUCCGGGGCUACACACGUGUUGCAAUGGGGGGUACAGAGGGCCGCUACCACGCGAGUGGAUGCCAAUCCCCAAAACCUCUCUCAGUUCGGACUGGAGUCUGCAACCCGACUCCACGAAGCUGGAUUCGCUAGUAAUCGCGCAUCAGCCACGGCGCGGUGAAUACGUUCCCGGGCCUUGUACACACCGCCCGUCAAGCCAUGGGAGCCGGGGGUACCUGAAGUGCGUAACCGCGAGGAGCGCCCUAGGGUAAAACUGGUGACUGGGGCUAAGUCGUAACAAGGUA